rnacentral:rRNA from 1 species
GAACGGAGCACCCUUGACUGAGGUUUCGGCCAAAUGAUAGGAAUGCUUAGUGGCGGACUGGUGAGUAACGCGUGAGGAACCUGCCUUUCAGAGGGGGACAACAGUUGGAAACGACUGCUAAUACCGCAUGAUGCGUAAAUGGGACAUCCCGGAUACGCCAAAGAUUUUAUCGCUGAAAGAUGGCCUCGCGUUUGAUUAGAUAGUUGGCGGGGUAACGGCCCACCAAGUUGACGAUCAGUAGCCGGACUGAGAGGUUGACCGGCCACAUUGGGAAUGAGAUACGGCCCAGACUCCUACGGGAGGCAGCAGUGGGGAAUAUUGGACAAUGGGCGAAAGCCUGAUCCAGCCCUGCCGCGUGUGUGAAGAAGGCCUUUUGGUUGUAAA